CAAGCCAGACAGUCAGCAGUUAGCAGCUUGUAGCCAAGGGAGCAACACCAACUGGCUCCCCUGCAGCUUAUGGAACAUCCCGGAGUUGCAGACCCCUAAAAAAUUUCAAGUGGAGGUGUGGAACCCUUUGAAUUGUGUGUUCUUUGAAAGGAAGGAGUCAAAGUAGUCUCUGGUCUAAAUCCUGAAUUGCCAGUGGAAUCACACUAGGGGAUGUCCAGUGGUGAAGGUCUGAUGAAGUGACUAGCUCCUGCUAUGGAAGCCUUUCUUCUGGGGACUCUCCAAACAUAAGAGCACCUCCAUCUUCAUGCCCACUCUUGCUGUCCUCUUUCAAUGGCCAUAUACAGCCAGGUCUGGGACACCUGGUCAAGUGGAGCUGUCCAAAUUCUUGACAGGUGGAAAAAGGUAUCUUAAUAAGAAAGGAGAAAGAGAGCAAGGAGGUGAGAUUUUCAUUUCUAUUGUGUCAAGUGCCCAUGGAAAAGUAAUCUCUUGGGCUAUCAUCUGGAAGCUGUGAGACGUGCCACCAUGAGCAACAACGAGAAACAAAUGGACCCUGGCUCAUCCCCUCCUCCUGAACUGCCAAAGAGAAAGAGGGGAAGGCCAAAGAAACAGCCACAAGAGCCUGAGGAACUGGUGCCUUUAAAGAAGCCACGUGGAAGGCCAAAAGGAAGCAAAAAAUUGAAUACUACUUCUGGACAGACGGUAGACUCUCCACUUGCAAAAAGGCCAAGAGGGAGACCCCGCAAGUGGCCUCAACUAGUGAACCCAGAGAAAAAAUCCCAGGAAGAAUCCCCUCUAGGGAGCAAUGACCUUAAUUCUAACUCAUCACUGGCAACAGAAGGCACCACUGGAAAGGAUGGUUACAGGACUGGCAAGACUGCAGGCCUCAGGAGAUCUCUGAGCACCACUUCAGCUUCACCACAGUAACCUCCUGGAUUAGGAAACAAAAAAAAUGCUUUGUUUUUUUUUUUACUUCAAAUUCUCCCCAGCUAUUAUUUCAGCAAAGCCUUGCUAUUUAUCAAAAACACUGACCUCAAGUAUGACAUUCAGGACUCCCUUGGGAUACAACACAGACAGAAACAACAACAGCUCUGGGUUCUUGCAUGCAGUUGUGGGUCUCCUCCCAGGUUUAGGCUCAUUUUUAGUGUCCCAGCCAAUCUCUUCAAAUUCUGGAAGUUAAGGGUGUUUUUCAUAUCGAGUCACAAAGAGCAAAAUCCUAUUGGUAUUUUUCAGCAGUUGGAACAGAUAAGUGCUUCAUAAAAUUGACAAAGUGAAUAUUUCAGUUUUAUGUAACAAGAUGUAUAGCUAGACAAUUUUACAAUAUAUUAAAUAUUUAAAAGGACAUAACUAGCUUUAAGUAUAUAGGAACAUAGAAAGGAAAUGUAUAAUGGCUGAAAAAACUGAACUUAAAUAGUAAUCAUUCAUAAAAGAUCUUUUUCUUUAGCAGGUAUUGAUGUAAUGCACAGAAACAGAUGUGGAUUAUUAGGCAGAGGGUAACUAAAUAUGAGUAACAGAAUAUAGAGCUUUUAACCUCUGCUCCUCAGAUUAAAUCGAGCCCAAUUUAGCAGUGAUUAGGGCUCUGAUCCUGUUAUUGAUUUUAAUGCCUUAUUUGUUUAUUCUAAUAGUUCAGGGGUGGGCAAAAUAUGGCCGGUGGGCUGGAUCUGGUCCACCAAGGGAUUUUAUUCUGCCCACAGCAGUUUCCUUGGCAUUGCCCAGCCCAGGCACAGGGGGCAGCCUGGACCUUUGCAGGUGUAGCUGGUCCCGCCAGCCUUGGGCAUGCAGUGGCAGUGGGGCAGUGUGGCAGUCAGACUUCCUUCCCAGCAUUCCCCACAGUGGUGGCUCCUUCCUGCUGCUGGUCUUCACUACUGCCGCUGGACCCGGUCUUGCUGCCUGGGCACCCUCAUCAGUCCACCCCAUGCCUGCCUUCAGGGGGCAGGGCCCGCUCGGCUGGGCAGAUGGGAUGGGGCCACAGGCAAGCGGGAAGUGGUAUCUGGCAAGCGGGCCAGAGGCAAGUGGGGCUGGUGUUGGAAAUGCAGGAUGGUGACAGCAUGGGGCUGGGGCCCAGGGCAGAGCCACGAACUGGUGCCCACACGCCCCUGUGACAGGUGCCAGUUUCAUGGGCAGGGGUAUGUGGGGAAUAGAUUGCAGCUCUGCCCUUGGCCCUGGCCCCGUGCUGUCACUACUCUGGUCCUGACCCACCCAUCCACCUGGCUGAGCACACCCUGCCUGUGCAGGUCACUGGCUGGUCUCCAUGGAGACCCCCAGAUUGCCAGGCAGCGAGAGUGUGGGGCCAGGCCCCAGGACAGAGCUGUUUCAGGCUAGGAUGGGGGAGGAGGGUGGGCUGCUGUCCUGGCACAGCAGGGGAAGGGGUGUGUUGCUAACCUGGCCUGUGACCGCUCACCAACACUCCCUGUCUCCCCAGCCCAAGUAAUUGCCCACCCUUGUAAUACUUGUUUCUGUUUAAUGGUUGCUUAUGGUAGUCUAUAUGGAAUGAGCUUGGUGGUCUUAGUGAGCUCUGUUGGCCCUGACGGGCUCCUAUUCAAACCAUUUUACCAAAGAAGCCAUGGAUUAAAUAGAUUUUGGAGGGACUAAACUUCUCUGAGGCUGUGGUGAACCAUCAUCAAAAAUGAUGCACGUUGCUGGAAGUGGGAGAAGACUGUACCCCACUUAUAACGCUGUCCCUGCUCUGUAUGUACAUAGAGCAUGUUCAGUACGAGUCUGGAAAUCCCUGGGGCAGCCUCCCUUUCCUUUAAAGGUAUAAGUACAUUGAGGUGUGGCAGGUGAACAGAAGAGGAAGAUUAUGGUAAAGCAAGAGAUAAGUAGUCACCAGGGGGUGUCCCAGCCACCCCCAAGACUAGCUUUUGUUGCAUUUGCCCUGGUGGGAAAAAAAUCUGUGAUUUGCACCCUCCUCCUCCAGAGGAGCAAUGCUGAGCCUUUGGAAGGGGAGGAAUGAGCAUGUUUCCUGCUGCAUUUUCCUUAAGCCUUUAAACACUUCCAUUGCCACCCACUUCUAACUUCAAAUCUGAAUGCAGUAGCAUACUUGGCAGAUCUGUAACCUAUGCUACAUUCCACUAAAACAUCUGGUUGGUCACCUCAGCUCAAAAAGUCAACCUGGGCUUCAUAUCAAGUGGAUACAGUAAUCCAGUGGUAAUUCAUCUUGAGACUUUAAAAGCCAUUCUGUCUGGACAUGGAUAGAAAUCCAUAUCAAGUUCUUUACUUGACUCCAAGUGUAUUAAAAGACCUGUGAAUCCUGCCAGCCAGACUUUAGUCCAGAUUUAGCUAGCAUUCUUCACCUGUGACUGGCAAAAUGGCAGGCCAGGAUUUUCUCCCCACCCAAAUUUGGAGUACACACUUGUACAAUAUGUGGGUUGUUUAAAUAGCAUGAAUGAUGCCCAAACAUUUUCAUUACAUUUAUCUCAAUCUCUCUCAGUUGGUGUACAUGGAAAAAUGCAAAGAGGAGGUGAGGAGAGACUAACUGUUGUUUUAGGGCUGAGAAAUCUUUGUUUUCAGGUGGAGAGAACCACUCCCCUGGCACAUGGUUGUCAUAAAGGAUUCUCUGUCUUGUAAAACUGUUUGCUCUGUGCUACCUUUUUCUUUUUUACUCAGUAGCCAUAACAGUUGGCAAAAAAGGCUGACAAAAAUGAAUGCAAUGGGAACAAUGAGCAAAAUUCCAUAUUGCUGGGAGAUAUUUUGUCUGUGAGCUCCUUCAAAAAUGUGCUGUGCUGUAAAACUUUUGAUCUGUAUUUUUUUGUUUCAAUAUUUAUAUAGAAACUGGGAGCAAAAAUAUGGCCCCAUCAGUGAUAGGGAUAUGAUUCCCACUGCCUUUAGCUGACCCAGGAUUUCACCCUAUAGAUUUAGUAGUUCUCUAAAAGGUGUAGAUUGUUUUCUAUUUCCCAUAUAUUUAACAUUCCACUCUUACCCAAAGCAAUGGGCUCAAACAAAAUCCUGCAUCUGAACAGAUGGAUCUGAAAUUUUUGCUAUGAAAUCAGGUCAAAUAUAUAGGAUCUUUGAAUUCAAGUCAAAAUAGCUUUGGGAUUAUGGUAGAUUUGUUCUGUGAAACUGUCCGUGGUGUGAGAUUGUGACUUCGUAAACUGAAAAUCAAGGUGUGGUCGAGAUCCAUUUUACCUCGCUCUUAACAUUUGUGAGAUUUAGAUAAACACUUCUGGUUUUGACGCAGGCAUACUGGAAGCGUCAUUUUGGUGUUAGUCUUUGAUUUCAUUAUUAAUAAAGUCGUAAGUUUUAGAGUGUA